UAUUUCUUGAUCUAAACUGUUCAACUAGUAGAACUCGUCAAGAAGAUAGAUCUUGUUGAAGAUCAACUUAAUCGAAUGCCGAUUAAAACAUAAUCGGGCAGGAUCAAAGUAAAUUUCAUUUUAAUAAAAUGGAGUUGGAUACACUGGAUCAAGCUCAUUACUGUACGGGAAUAAAUUCACUCAAAGGGCCUUCGCCUUCUGGGAUUUUCAUUGCGCCCUACAGCUGAGGUAGGAUUUCAUGGGACUCGGUUAGUUUAUUUGCUUUAGCUUUCAUUGUUCUUUGGAUCAUGAAAUUCUGCUCCAUUGCCUGUUUAAAUUUGAGUUAUUUAAUGGGAUUGAUUUAGCUUUGUCAAGUUUUUGUCGACCAGAGCUGUUGCGAACUGAGUGACAUAAUCAUCCGGUAGGACCUUCGUGCUCGCUCUCGACCCUCACUCUAUGCUCGCGCUCUCGCGAAUUUUUAUAGUUUGGAAUGUUUUUAAAGAGUCGGUCACGCUCGUCUUUCUCCGCUCACGCACACACACGGGUUGCAAGCACUGCUAAACUAACAAUUAGAAAGGGAGGGAGUAUCUAAUUCGGUAAACUACUUAUGCUCUCUCCCCUUGUUUGGUUUGUUUAGAAAGUUUGCAUCUGUGUGUUUUCAUUAAGGCUUUCUUCGGAAUUGGGUUUGCAUUCAGAUGGGAUAUUGUGAGUUAGUAUGGACAGGUAAGAACCGUAGAGUUUUUAGAGUAUUUCAUUGACUUAAUGGGCAGGUCAUAGCUUUGAGAAGCAAAUAGGAGAAGGUUUUGGAGAGUGGCUCCUUUAUAAUGCCGAUCAUCAAGCUCCUAGAUAUGAAGUUAAAUUUUGAGAUUUACAAAUGUGGUGUGAACAAAAUUUCUGAUACUGCGACGGGUCUGAGGAACCCAUUUUAAUCUAAAUUUGUAUAGGUCCUCUGUGUAGGUGCGUGUGGGGUCAAUUUACCCAAGAAUUGAUGAUUUGUAGAGAAUUUUGAGGCUUGAGUGGAUUCAUAGCCUUUUGCAUGUGGCUUUGUAGUUUGUGCCUGUAAUGUAUGGAGACGAGAGGUUUUGAGGAUUGAGAGGAUUCCUAGCCGUAUUGCUUUUGCCUUUCAAUGUAUGUAUAUAGGGCAUUUCCCUCUUGAUGCCUUCCAUUCAUCAACAGAUCUCUAUGUAAGAGAAUGAUAACUUCCUAACUGGUGAUGAUGAUGUCUGUCGCAUUCCUUUUAGCCCAACAACUGGGGAGAGAUCAUAUUCUGUCUUUGGAAUUUCAUGCUAAUUGGUCUUGACCAUAUUUUUCUCUAUUCAAAGAUGUUGCUUAAUGCUACCGGAGCUAGUAGACCUAAAUGUACUCUCUCCAGUCUCCCCUAAACCAGAAAUAUUAAAUCUUCCUGAGGCUUCAAAUGUACAGGAGUGGGAGUUCCACUGCCAAAUUAGAAAUGGAUAUCCGAAGGGAGCAAUUAGAGAAACCCAAAGAAUACAUUUGGGGCAAGUUGAGGGUGGGGCAAUUGAAACAGUCCACAUGCAAAUAUUAGCAUUGGAAAUUUAAUCUUUCAAUUAUCUUUUGUAGGGGAAUGAAGAUCUAAUUCUUGUUCAUGAGGCACCCGACUUUGGAGAUUGCCGUUUAUCCUUGGCGAUACCCAAAUACGAGAUUUUUUGAGAACAGAAAUUUGCUGCGGGACCUAGCACAGAUGCCUCAAUGUGUACUUUAUGUAUAUGUAAUAUUCGUAGCUUGCCACUUUGUUUGAUAUUUCAGUGUUUGCCAACAUUUUUUUGUUUGAUACUCCCUCCGUCCCAAAUUCUUUGCCCGGUCCGCAAAACAGAGUGUUAAAAAUAAUACAAUUUUUGCAUGAAAAAAUCAAAAGUUUUUCAACAACUUACUAGAUAUCAAUGAGUAUUUUUAAUUUGUGAAAAAAGUUUGAAUUUUUUCUUGAAAAACAUGCAUUAUUUUUAACACUCCGUUUUGCGGACCGGACAAAGAAUUUGAGACGGAGGGAGUAUGUUUCUAACAUGUUUUUCUUUGUUUUCUAAUCUUCAAUGGAUAAUGUACUGUACACCUGAACCCUAUGUUGGUUUCUUCUAAUGCUGUGUUCAUGGUUGCUUUAUUCCGUUGUCCAUAUUCUUCUUUGGUUUUUCUUUUUAUUGGAAGAGCCCGAUGUAACUUAGUUUGUUGAUGAUAUCUAUCAAACAUGGAUCUUAGUUUGCUGAUGCUAUUUCUAAGAUCAAUGGUUUAUUCUGUCCCUUCUAAUUCUUACUCAUUGUUUGCUUUGUUGAAUAAUUUUGUCGGUGUUAAAUAUUACUGGAAGUCCUGUCGUAAUCUUAGUUUGCUGGAGUACUAUUUUCACCAUGCUAGUCUCGAGGCUGCACUUGAUUGGCUAUGCUUGAAUUUGCGUGGGAAUGAGCUUCUGUUGAAGUUUUCUACUGGGACUUCUCUCUAUACAAAUGAAGGUAUUGUUAAGCAAUAGGAAUCACAUAUUUAGAGUUUCUUAGAAAUGCAGCGUGCUGCAUAACAAUAGGUUCAUACAUAUCAGUGUGGGACAUGGAGAAUUGUGCUUUAGCAUAAGUUCCUUAAUAUCGAUCAUGCUAGGAGGUGCUGUUGGGAUCAUAUCAACUUAAAGAAAGGAUUGAAGUCCUUUGGUAGAUUCAUCUGCCAAGAUUGAGGAGGAAAUGCCUGAACUUAAUGUUAGAAUCAAGGGGCGUUCAGACUUCAGAUGAUAAUCCGGAUCUCAUGAAAAUCCUCACACGAACCUCACAAGGAAGAAUCCUCAUAUAGAGGAUUCAUAUCAAUGGCAAAGUACGCCCUUCAAAUAACUUUGGACGGGUUUGGUAGAUUCAGUGGAAUAUGUAAAGAUUGCAGCUGCAAGUCCGGAUAAUUCCUUAGCCAUCAAAAUGUGAACCAAUAAGGUGUAUUGAAAUUUGUGGGGACGUAUACUUAAUAUUCAACCUGUUUAGAUUAGCUUACCUCAUACUGGAGAUUCAACCAUAUCUGUCGCGAACAUGCCAUAUUUGAUUAUGCAAUCCGAUCAUAUCAGCUGUGAACAUGCUGUACUUGAUUAUGCAAUCUGAAUCUACGCUGAUUCAAUUUGUGGCA